AACGCACAUUGCGCCUCUCGGUAUUCCGGGAGGCACGCCUGUUCGAGCGCCAUUACACCGUCCAAGCUGCGGCUUGAUGUUGGGCGAGGCUGCGGUCCGAGAGGACGGGCGGCGCGCCUGGAAGGUAUGGGCGGCGGAGGCCAGACCGCGAGCGUAGCAAAGACGAGAGUCACCCGCUCGGACGGAUCUGGCGGACGCGUGUCGAGAAGUCGAGGAUGCGAGGGCGACCGCGCAAAGACGACGAAACACACACAAGUUUGGCCUCGGAUCAGGCGGGGAUACCCGCUGAACUUAA
rnacentral:misc_RNA from 1 species